rnacentral:rRNA from 1 species
UACGUAGGUGGCAAGCGUUGUCCGGAUUUACUGGGCGUAAAGAGCGCGCAGGCGUCGUGCAAGUCGCGUGUGAAAGCCCCCGGCUCAACUGGGGAGGGUCACGCGAUACUGCUCGACUUGAAGGCAGGAGAGGGAAGUGGAAUUCCCGGUGUAGUGGUGAAAUGCGCAGAUAUCAGGAGGAACACCGGUGGCGAAGGCGGAUCUCUGGGCCUUACCUGACGCUCAGGUGCGAAAGCUAGGGGAGCGAACAGG